AUAUAUCAAUCUCUUCAGCUUUUACUUGUUGAGCAUUGGAUGUGGGGGUCUUUUGCUGGUCUUUUGAAAGAGAUCAGCUCCCCUAAAAUGUAUUAGCAGAACAUUUUGUUGAUUGUUCAUUGGUGUGAUAAUUAUCUACGCUAUUGACAUCAGGCAGUUCAGCUUCUAACAGUCCAUUGACUUGGACAAUUUUAUUA
rnacentral:misc_RNA from 1 species